UAGUAUUUUGGUAUUCCCCUUUAUAGUCUGCUUAGGCAGGUGAUAAACACACACAGCUUUUGUUUUUCUCGUUCGGUGAAGUGGCAAGAUCGAUGAGCUAGUCUUCAGUUUGUCCACCAGUGGAAGUGGUCCAGGAGUAUUUAUGCCAUGAGCACUCCAAAGUGUCCCAACUGUCAGGGGUGUGAUGUUGAUGUUGUGGAUGGUCAGCGAGCAGUCUGCAGGUCUUGCCUUAAAUGCCGUAUAUUGCAGUUUCAGUUCUGUGUGGCCUGUCAGAGAGAAUGGCCACGUAAUGCUUCAACCACCAGUGCCUGCGAGCUGCCUAACUGUGCACUCCGUGCCGCUCUCCUCAGUGACAAAAAAAUAAAUCAACCGAGCAGCUCGGUGAAAGGAUGCCCCUUUUUCAGGGCCUGUCCAGGAUGCAAGGCCCUGCUAACUUACACUGGAAGUCUCUGUCCAACCAUCAGAUGCCCUUAUUGUAAAACAUAUUUUUGCUUUCGCUGUCUGAAUCACUCCCUGAGUCAUGACAAUACUGAAUGCAAAGUGUUGGACAACAAGCAGAGCCUCAAAGAUUUAAAGUAGCUUUAAUGAAAAAGUUAUGAACAUUUAGGUCUGAUUAGGAAAAAAGGAACAAAUGUUUAUAUUGAAAAAAUCAAUGUUUUUUCCCCAUUUCUCAAUGAACAUAGCCAAUGCAUUUUGGUGCAUUUAAACAAAACAGUUUCAAAUAACAGGUUAGUCCCAAAACAUCUUGUAGGAAUAGAAAGAUAAAACAUAAUACAUUUAAACUCAAAUAUAGUUAUUGCAAAGAAAAAAACACAAACUACAAAAUUGUAAAUUUAAAUAAAAAAUGUAACUCAUAUUUUUCCCUAGUAUAUUCAUUUGGCACUGUGACAAUUUUUGUUAGUUCCAGUUUUGCAUUUGGUACUGACUAAUCUAAUGUAUUUGCACAAAUAUAAUAUUGUAAAGCU